UACGUAGGGUGCGAGCGUUAAUCGGAAUUACUCGGCGUAAAGCGUGCGCAGGCGGCUUUGCAAGACAGAUGUGAAAUCCCCGGGCUCAACCUGGGAACUGCAUUUGUGACUGCAAGGCUAGAGUACGGCAGAGGGGGAUGGAAUUCCGCGUGUAGCAGUGAAAUGCGUAGAUAUGCGGAGGAACACCAAUGGCGAAGGCAAUCCCCUGGGCCUGUACUGACGCUCAUGCACGAAAGCGUGGGGAGCAAACAGG
rnacentral:rRNA from 1 species